GCCGGGGUGCUGAAAUGGCAGACAGGCUAGUCUCAAAAACUAGUGAGGGUAACCUCGUGAGGGUUCGACUCCCUCUCCCGGCA
rnacentral:tRNA from 1 species